GACGAACGCUGGCGGCGUGCCUAAUACAUGCAAGUAGAACGCUGAAGGAGGAGCUUGCUUCUCUGGAUGAGUUGCGAACGGGUGAGUAACGCGUAGGUAACCUGCCUGGUAGCGGGGGAUAACUAUUGGAAACGAUAGCUAAUACCGCAUAACAGUAGAUGUUGCAUGACAUUUGCUUAAAAGGUGCAAUUGCAUCACUACCAGAUGGGCCUGCGUUGUAUUAGCUAGUUGGUGGGGUAACGGCUCACCAAGGCGACGAUACAUAGCCGACCUGAGAGGGUGAUCGGCCACACUGGGACUGAGACACGGCCCAGACUCCUACGGGAGGCAGCAGUAGGGAAUCUUCGGCAAUGGACGGAAGUCUGACCGAGCAACGCCGCGUGAGUGAAGAAGGUUUUCGGAUCGUAAAGCUCUGUUGUAAGAGAAGAACGAGUGUGAGAGUGGAAAGUUCACACUGUGACGGUAUCUUACCAGAAAGGGACGGCUAACUACGUGCCAGCAGCCGCGGUAAUACGUAGGUCCCGAGCGUUGUCCGGAUUUAUUGGGCGUAAAGCGAGCGCAGGCGGUUAGAUAAGUCUGAAGUUAAAGGCUGUGGCUUAACCAUAGUACGCUUUGGAAACUGUUUAACUUGAGUGCAAGAGGGGAGAGUGGAAUUCCAUGUGUAGCGGUGAAAUGCGUAGAUAUAUGGAGGAACACCGGUGGCGAAAGCGGCUCUCUGGCUUGUAACUGACGCUGAGGCUCGAAAGCGUGGGGAGCAAACAGG
rnacentral:rRNA from 1 species